UACGAAGGGGGCGAGCGUUGUUCGGAGUUACUGGGCGUAAAGGGCGCGUAGGCGGCGCUCCAAGUUAGGCGUGAAAGCCCCGGGCUCAACCUGGGAAUAGCGCUUAAGACUGGAGUGCUUGAGUGCGGGAGAGGUGAGUGGAAUUCCCAGUGUAGAGGUGAAAUUCGUAGAUAUUGGGAAGAACACCAGUGGCGAAGGCGGCUCACUGGCCCGCAACUGACGCUGAGGCGCGAAAGCGUGGGGAGCAAACAGGAUUAGAUACCCUGGUAGUCCACGCCGUAAACGAUGAGUGCUAGACGUUGGGGGACUCGGUCCCUUGGUGUCGCAGCUAACGCAUGAAGCACUCCGCCUGGGGAGUACGGCCGCAAGGUUA
rnacentral:rRNA from 1 species